GACGAACGCUGGCGGCGUGCUUAACACAUGCAAGUCGAACGGUAAGGCCCUUCGGGGUACACGAGUGGCGAACGGGUGAGUAACACGUGGGGGAUCGGCCCUGCACUUGGGGAGAAGCCUGGGAAACAGGGUCUAAUACCGGAUAGGACCACUGCAUGCAUGGGUGGUGGGGGAAGGCUUUUGCGGUGUGGGAUGGGCCCGCGGCCUAUCAGCUGGUUGGUGGGGUGAUGGCCUACCAAGGCCACGACGGGUAGCCGGCCUGAGAGGGUGACCGGCCACACUGGGACUGAGAUACGGCCCAGACUCCUACGGGAGGCAGCAGUGGGGAAUAUUGCACAAUGGGCGCAAGCCUGAUGCAGCGACGCCGCGUGAGGGAUGACGGCCUUCGGGUUGUAAACCUCUUUCAGCACCGACGAAGCGCAAGUGACGGUAGGUGCAGAAGAAGGACCGGCCAACUACGUGCCAGCCGCCGCAGUAA
rnacentral:rRNA from 1 species